AGCGAACGCUGGCGGCAGGCCUAACACAUGCAAGUCGAACGAACCUUUCGGGGAUAGUGGCGGACGGGUGAGUAACACGUGGGAACGUGCCUUUAGGUUCGGAAUAACUCAGGGAAACUUGUGCUAAUACCGAAUGUGCCCUCCGGGGGAAAGAUUAAUCGCCUUUUGAGCGGACCGCGUCUGAUUAGCUAGUUGGUUGAGGUAAUGGCUCACCAAGGCGACGAUCAGUAGCUGGUCUGAGAGGAUGAUCAGCAACAUUGGGACUGAGACACGGCGCAAACUCCUACGGGAGGCAGUAGUGGGGAAUCUUGCGCAAUGGGCGAAAGCCUGACGCAGCCAUGCCGCGUGAAUGAUGAAGGUCUUAGGAUUGUAAAAUUCUUUUACCGGGGACGAUAAUGACGGUACCCGGAGAAGAAGCCCCGGCUAACUUCGUG
rnacentral:rRNA from 1 species